rnacentral:rRNA from 1 species
CACCUAAUCCUGCGCUCUUUGGGCGUCGGGAAAUGUGGUGUUAGGGAGUGAGCGUGCCGGAGGUUCGACUCUGCAGCAAGUCCCCCUGACCGGGGCUCUUUUCCCAGAGUGGGUGCGAGGCCCAUAGCUGCUAGGUCUUCUUCCGGAUGCAAUCUCCUGGGAGUCGGGUUGCUUGGGAGUGCAAUCCUAAUCUGGUGGUAAACUCCACCUAAGGCUAAAUAUCGCCGUGAGACCGAUAGCGAACAAGUACCGUGAGGGAAAGUUGCAAAGAACUUUGAAGAGAGAGUUAAAGAGUACGUGAAACUGCUCAAAGGUAAAUGGAUGGGCCCUCGAAGUCCUGUGGUGGAAGGAUUCAGUCGAAACGGAGGGGAGCUCACCCUGACACUCUAGUUAAUCGGUCCUGCGUGUGGGGCCGUCUGGGUGACGACUUUUCUCCGUGUAGACGCAUUUCCGGUUCCACCCUGAGGACGCCGCAACCGGUUGGGGGACGGAGUGAAAGGCCGGCAAGGAGUUCGCCAGUGGUGCCUUUACCGGUUACCUUUGGAUGUUGACUCUGCUGCCAAUGUCUCGUCCCUCGACCGUGGUAUCGCGAGGCCCUCACUGGGCCUUUUCGCCUCCUCUCCCUGAGAUGUCGGGUGUCGGCGGCAGGUGUCCUGCCGCGUGCUGCCGCACGGCCUCAUGCCGUGGGCAAGCAUGCGGAAUGGUUCCGUUGGCCGUCUGUGUCAGACCCGUGGGUGAGCUGGUGGUUGGCGGCGAGUAGAUCGGUCACCCAUCCAACCCGUCUUGAAACACGGACCAAGGAGUCUAACAUGUGUGCGAGUCAAUGGGUCUCGAUGAAGCCCAGAGGCGCAACGAAAGCGAAGGCCGGGCCUCGAGUUCGGCUGUGCCGGGAUCGCGUUUCCUCCGUGGGACGCGCGCACCGGCGACCUGUUCCGUCCAGUUUACUGGUGGAGCGGAGUCUGAGCAUACACGUUGGGACCCGAUAGAUGGUGAACUAUGCCUGGGCAGGACGAAGCCAGAGGAAACUCUGGUGGAGGUCCGCAGCGGUUCUGACGUGCAAAUCGAUCGUCAGAUCCGGGUAUAGGGGCGACAGACUCAUCGAACCGUCUAGUAGCUGGUUCCCUCCGAAGUUUCCCUCAGGAUAGCUGGCGCUCGUUGGAAUCAGUCUCAUCCGGUAAAGCGAAUGAUUAGAGGCCUUGGGGCCGAAACGACCUCAACCUAUUCUCAAACUUUAAAUGGGUGAUAUGUCCGUCCUGCAUGUUUGAGGACCGGACGCUUGAUGUGAGUGCCCAGUGGGCCACUUUUGGUAAGCAGAACUGGCGCUGUGGGAUGAACCAAACGUCGGGUUAAGGUGUCCGAUGCGAGACGCUCAUGAGACACUAAAAAAGGUGUUGGUUGCUCCAGACAGUCAGGCAGUGGCUCUGGAAGUCGGCAUCCUGCUCAGGAGUGUGUAACAACUCACUGACCGAAGCAACUAGCCCUGAAAAUGGAUGACGCUCCAGCGUCGCGACCUAUACCCGACCGUCGCGACAGAUCUCCCCUGAUGGAGGUUUAUGUAGCGACGAGUAGGAGGUGCAUCGGGAUGGCGUCGAAGGUGCCGGGCGCAAGCCCGUCUCGAGCCGUCCCGAGAGCAGAUCUUGGUGGUAGUAGCGAAUACUCAAGUGAGAACCUUGAGGACUGAAGUUGGAGAAGGGUUCCAUGUGAACAGCAGUUGAACAUGGGUCAGUCGGUCCUAAGGAAUCGGAAAAUUCCGUUCUGAAGCGGGACGUUGAUGCAAUGUCUGUGUCCCGCUGCUGACCGAAAGGGAAUGGGGUCAAUAUUCCCCGACCCGGACGCGGAGAGAGAACCUUCGGGUUCACGUGCGGUGACGCAAACGAACUCAGAGACGUCGACGGAGGACCCGGGGAAGAGUUGUCUUUUCUUUGUAAGAGGUCGUGUCCCUGGAAUCGGCUUGUCCGGAGAUAGGGACGUUGUCCUCGUAAGAGCACCGCGGCUCUUGCGGUGUCCGGAGCACCUCCGUCGUCCCUUGCAAAUCUGAGGGAGAUAGUGUGAUUCUCGUGCCGGCCCGUACCCAUAUCCGCAGCAGGU